GAGUUGUAAUUUGCAGAGGAUGCUUUUGGCGCGGUGCCUUCCGAGUUCCCUGGAACGGGACGCCAUAGAGGGUGAGAGCCCCGUCUGGUCGGACACCAAGCCAGUGUAAAGCUCCUUCGACGAGUCGAGUAGUUUGGGAAUGCUGCUCUAAAUGGGAGGUAUAUGUCUUCUAAAGCUAAAUACCGGCCAGAGACCGAUAGCGCACAAGUAGAGUGAUCGAAAGAUGAAAAGCACUUUGAAAAGAGGGUUAAACAGUACGUGAAAUUGUUGAAAGGGAAGCGUUUAUGACCAGACUUGGGCCCGGUGAAUCAUCCAGCGUUCUCGCUGGUGCACUUUGCCGGGCUCAGGCCAGCAUCAGUUCGUCGCGGGGGAUAAAAGCUUCGGGAACGUGGCUCCCUCGGGAGUGUUAUAGCCCGUUGCAUAAUACCCUGCGGUGGACUGAGGUUCGCGCUCCGCAAGGAUGCUGGCGUAAUGGUCAUCAGCGACCCGUC
rnacentral:rRNA from 1 species